AUGGGCGUUUCUAAAGGGCAAACAUAGCUAGCUGUUUUAUGGUAAUCCUCAAAUUCACGAGGAUCAUUGUUGAGAAGAAGCCUGUUUUUCUGCCAGACUGACCUUACCUCUGCUCAUUGUGUGAAAAUGCAGCACAUAACAGUGAACCGAAAGGGAGGUGAAAUUCCUCGACCUGUCCGCAUCCAUGAAAACCACUUUAAGUGUCCCUUUUGUUCCCCUGAGCUAUACAAACCAGCUGGAUAUCCAAAGAUAGCAACACAUCUUGCCAGUCACAAGCUCAAAACAAUCAGUCAUAGAGACUACAUAAUAUAUGGCUGUGGACUGGGUUGUGGUGGAAAGGCAAAACACUUUCAUUGUUGUUACUGCUCAAAGACUUAUAUAAAAAAGAUUGAAAUAUUAAAGCACUUGGAUCUCCAUUGCCCUGAUAGUCCGUGCCAGCCAUCAGCAGCAACACCUGGUCCUUCCACACCAGUCCCCCCGGCUGAACCAACACCUGGUCCUUCCACACCAGUCCCCCA